UACAGAGGGUGCAAGCGUUACUCGGAAUUACUGGGCGUAAAGCGUGCGUAGACGGUUAUGUAAGUCAGAUGUGAAAGCCCCGGGCUUAACCUGGGAAUGGCAUUUGAGACUGCAUAGCUAGGGUGCGGAAGAGGGAAGCGGAACUUCCGGUGUAGCGGUGAAAUGCGUAGAUAUCGGAAGGAACACCAGUGGCGAAAGCGGCUUCCUGGUCCAGCACCGACGUUCAGGCACGAAAGCGUGGGGAGCAAACAGG
rnacentral:rRNA from 1 species